AUGAGAUCUUCAGUGCAACCAAAUAUCGUCGACAUUAUUGCACGAUUAGACGGUGACCUGUCACGGGAAGGGACAGCUCCGAAAGAGAUCCGAGCGAGGGAAGACGACAGGCACCACGUCAUGCCCAGUGCUCGAAUACAAAAAAUAAAUGAGCCCCCUGCAAAAAAAAAAACAAAAAAAAAGAGAAAAUCAAGCAGGGGCGAUUCCACGCUGUCAUGCAAACCCAUUUUUAAAGUGCCAUUGACGAGAUUAUUAGCCGUCGAGCAACAGCUAACUUCGGCGAGAAAUACGAUCCAAGGUUUCUUGUCUGGAUGCCCCAAUAUUUUUCAGAAGUAG
rnacentral:rRNA from 1 species